AGUAACGAAGUGUUUAAGAUUUAUUCUAGCACUCAACUUGGGAGCUAUUAACUCCCAUGAUUAGUCAUGUUGAAACUUGUGUGUCUCUGUUCUUGAUUCAAAGAAGAGCAUGUUGUUAAGCUAAGCACACACGCACAAUCUGUACUUGUGUUCACUAAGUGGUUUUAUUGCGGUGUGAGCCUGAUGUGUCUAAACUUGUUGCAUAUUCUGAUGGUUAUCACUAACUUGGAAUAUACUAUUAUUAUUGGGAUCCAUACAUAUUCAUUUAUUAGUUGCAUUCAUGUAGUUGCACUCCAUGCUUGUGUUCUUGUGGUCAUCUAUAUUAUUAUUACAUGAGCUAGAUGGAUUUUGUGGGUACAUUCGCUAUAGGCCCUCACGAGACCUUACUCGUCCACUAGGGCUGCCUAGGGGUUUAAAGGGCUUGUUGCAUAUGCCAAAUGCAACCGUGAUCACCUACGGAAGUGGUAUAUAUCUAUUAGGUGUUAGUUUUAUUUAUUUUAUUUGCCCGAGGACGUGCAAAAGACUAAGUGUGGG
rnacentral:lncRNA from 1 species